UACGUAGGGGGCAAGCGUUGUCCGGAAUCAUUGGGCGUAAAGAGCGCGUAGGCGGCCCGGUAAGUCCGCUGUAAAAGUCCAGGGCUCAACCCUGGAAAGCCGGUGGAUACUGUCGGGCUAGAGUCCGGAAGAGGCGAGUGGAAUUCCUGGUGUAGCGGUGAAAUGCGCAGAUAUCAGGAGGAACACCAAUUGCGAAGGCAGCUCGCUGGGACGUUACUGACGCUGAGACGCGAAAGCGUGGGGAGCAAACAGG
rnacentral:rRNA from 1 species